rnacentral:sRNA from 1 species
AUGAUGUCUCACUCUGUCACCCAAGAUGGAGUGCAAUGGCACGAUCUCAGCUCACUGCAACCUCUGCCUCCCAGGUUCAAGCAAUUAUCCUGCCUCAGCCACCCGAGUAGCUGAGAUUACAGGCCUCUGCCACCAUGCUCAGCUAUUUUUUGUAUUUUUAGUAGAGACGGGGUUUCACCAUGUUGGGCAGGCUAGUCUUGGAACUACUGACCUCAGGUGAUCCGCCCACUUUGGCCUCCCGAAAGUGCUGGGAUUACAGUCAUGAGCCACCAUGCCCAGCUUAUUGAUGCUGAUUCUUUAAGGGUGACUGGACGUGUUGAUCAGCGCUCGCUGGGAUUUGGCUGACGUGGCCCCAACCCCGCCUCCCUCCCCACCCCACAAUGGCAGAAGAAACUCGACAGUGUAAAUUAGCUGCAGCCAAGAAAAAGUUCAAAGAAUAUUGGCAGAGAAACCGCCCUGGUGUUCCAGCAGCAGCGAAGAGGAACAGGAAAGCAAAUGGCAGUAGCCCUGAGACGGCCGCUUCUGGUGGUUGCCAUUCAUCUGAGGCUGUGAGUCUUGCCUGGACAGGCUUUUGGGGACAGGGGGCCCAAGGAGCAGUAGAGGGCAAUCGUUAAGAUUGUGGAUGGACUGUUGGGUACUGGUGAAGGAUUCUGGAUUUGGCCGGGCACGGUGGCUCACGCCUGUAAUCCCAACACUUCGGGAGACCAAGGCAGGUGGAUCACAAGGUCAGGAGAUCGAGACCAUCCAGGCAAACACGGUGAAAUACUAAAAAAUACCAAAAAAAAAGCCGGGCGUGGUGGCGGGCGCCUGUAGUCCCAGCUGCUCCGGAGUCUGAGGGAGGAGAAUGGCGCGUGAACCUAGGAGGCGGAGCUUGCAGUGAGCCAAGAUCACGCCACUGCACUCCAGCCUGGAAGGCAGAGAGAGACUCCGUUUCAAAAAAGAAAAGAAUUCUGGGUUUGAAUCCUGCCUCUCCGUCUGCUAGGGAUAUGAUUUAGGGCAAGUUGCCUGAGCUCUUUGGGCCUCUGUUUUCACGUCUGUAUGAUAGAGGUGGUAUUGUUUGACUUGUAUUUGUGAAGUUUAAAUGAGAUUUAUAAUUGUCGAUUUUAUGUUAAUCCCUAGUACAUGGCCUGCUGUCAACACCCAGGACACCCAGGAUAUGGUCUUUGCUGUUUGAUUUUCCUCAUCCCCAGUCUCAAGGGGAAGCCAGGACAAUGAGAACAGCCACUUCCCAUCAGGAGUCACUGCAAGGGCCCCAGGGUGGGAUGGUGGGGAGAUGAGAACCAUGAGAGAAGUUGGCACAAAGGAGUUACGGGACAAAGGGUCCAAGAUAGGCAGAAAAGAAAAUGUUGCCAGUUGAUGGGGAAGAAAGGAAGUCGGAGGGCUCAGACACUGAGGGGGACAGAACAUCUCCAUGUGCACUCUCAUCUCUUAUAGUCAGCAACAGGUAUCCAUGGGUAGGGCCCUACAUCAUCUGCUACCCUGAAGGAUCUGGAGGUAGGAGGCUCUGGGCGGAGGUGCAGUGACCCCGCAGGCCAGCCCUCCAACCUCCUCCCGCAGCGGGGACUGGGUGCCCCUCUGCCAGCUGAGACAGCCCACACACAACCCAGCCCUAAUGAUCGUUCUCUCUACCUCUCCCCCAAGUCCUCCUCCGCCUCCUCCUCUCUGCAUGCGCCUCAGAGCCCGUGCCAAGAACAAGCAGCAGUCCUGGACUCGAGGUCCAUAAAAAUCAGUCGACUGAAUGACACCAUCAAAUCUUUGAAACAACAGAAGAAACAAGUGGAACAUCAGCUGGAAGAAGAAAAGAAAGCAAACAAUGAGAAACAGAAAGCUGAAAGGGAGCUAGAGGGUCAAAUCCAGAGAUUGAACAGAGAGAAAAAGAAACUAAAUACGGACCUGUAUCACAUGAAACAUUCUCUCAGAUACUUUGAAGAAGAGUCCAAGGAUCUGGCCGGCCGCCUGCAACGUUCAUCGCAGCGUAUAGGAGAGUUAGAGUGGUCUCUCUGUGCUGUCGCCGCCACACAGAAGAAGAAGCCGGAUGGGUUCUCGAGCUGCAGUAAAGCACUUCUCAAGCGGCAGUUAGAGCAGUCCAUACGGGAGCAGAUACUGCUGAAAGGACACGUGACACAGUUGAAGGAGUCGCUUAAAGAAGUCCAGCUGGAGAGAGAUCAAUAUGCUGAACAAAUAAAAGGAGAGAGGGCCCAGUGGCAGCAGAGGAUGAGGAAAAUGUCGCAGGAGGUUUGCACAUUGAAGGAGGAGAAGAAGCAUGAUACGCAUCGGGUAGAGGAGCUGGAGAGGAGCUUGUCCAGACUCAAAAACCAGAUGGCUGAGCCACUGCCCCCGGAUGCCCCAGCAGUGUCCUCUGAGGUGGAGCUGCAAGACCUGAGGAAGGAGCUGGAGAGAGUGGCAGGAGAGCUCCAGGCUCAGGUGGAAAACAAUCAGUGCAUCAGUCUCCUGAACCGUGGGCAAAAGGAGAGGCUUCGCGAGCAGGAGGAGAGGCUUCAGGAGCAGCAGGAGAGGCUUCGGGAACAGGAGAAGAGGCUUCAGCAGCUGGCCGAGCCACAGAGCGACUUGAAGGAGCUGAAGAACGAGAACAAGAGCGCACUGCAGUUGGAGCAGCAAGUAAAGGAGCUGCAGGAGAAGCCGGGCCAGGUGACGGAGACGCUCACCUCGGCCGAGAAGGAGCCAGAGGCAGCAGUCCCAGCCUCAGGGACUGGGGGCGAGUCUAGCGGCCUUAUGGACCUCCUGGAGGAGAAGGCGGACCUGAGGGAGCAUGUGGACAAACUGGAACUUGGAUUCAUCCAGUACCGGAGAGAGAGAUGCCAUCAGAAAGUACAUCGCCUUCUAACAGAGCCAGGGGACAGUGCCAAAGAUGCGGCACCGGGAGGAGGCCAUCAUCAGGCUGGCCCAGGACGAGGAGGAGAGGAAGGUGACGCUGCUGGAGCUGCAGGAGAUGGUGUUGCGGCUUGUGGCAACUACAGCGAGGGGCACGGCAAAUUCCUGGCCGCUGCCCGGAACCCUGCUGCUGAACCCAGUCCAGGAGCCCCAGCCCCCCAGGAGCUCGGGGCUGCCAACGAGCGUGGUGAUCUUUGUGAGGUGAGCCUCACCAACAGCGUGGAGCCUGCACAAGGAGAAGCCAGGGAGGGUUCUUCCCAGGACAAGCCUACUGCACAGCCAAUCGUGCAGCUCCUUGGUGAGAUGCAGAACCACCAGGAGCACCCAGGCUUGGGCAGCAACUGCUGUGUGCCAUGCUUUUGCUGGGCUUGGCUGCCGAGAAGGAGGAGAUAAACACCACCAUCAUCAAAGAGCUGCUCAAGAAAUUUUUAAAAACAAAACAAAGUUAUGGGGUUAAUCUCCUACAUGAUUCAUUUACUUCAUUUGAAUGUUAGAGCUACUCAUGAUUAUUUGUGUUUCUAAUUUAUAGUUUAAGUUUAUUUGUAAAAAGUUAAAAGAGAGUGGGUCUCUGUGGCUCUCACUGAUGUUCACUCUGGCAUCCUUUAGCAUUUUUCUUUUUUCAUUUCAUAAUUGUAGGUCAUUAGCAUGCAUAUCGAGUUUGCCCUUACGUGGUGGGAGUUCAAACACACAAAGACCCACUCUUUGCACAAAACUGUUCUCACUGGUUUGGAAUAGGCUCCCGUGCUUUUUUAAUGUUAUUGCAGCAUGUAUGUUCAUUACAGAAUUCAGAUAAAAUUUGCUAAUGUUCUGCUAUGAUGUUUGAUCUCAUCUUAAUCACAGUGAGCUCUUCAAUAGCUCAAUAUGCGGUUUGCCCUCAAGUGUACACUGUUUAUUACUUUGUAAUAUGCUACUAUGAGUACUGACAUUUAGAGCUGUUUAAAGGCCGAGAACUGGAAACAGCCUUUCCUCCAUUUUCUGUGUAUUGGUGAUGGGAGUGAUAACCUUUUGGGGGAGCUUUCUAAAUCUCACAGAAGAGGAAAGUGGCCUGCUCUGGCAGGUAUGUGCAGGAUAGAGUGUGUUUCAUCUGUUCCGGUGCCAGGAAUUAGCACUGUACUGUGGCAGUUCCCUUUGGAUUUGUAUGUGCUCUGGGCUCAUGAAGAUAUUGCAUCGUGAGCUGCAGCAGUUGCACUCUUUUUCAAUGACCUAAAAAGGGCUUAUUUCCGAGGAAUGAAAGGCUGCCAUCAUUGGCUGUGGGUGUGGAAAACCUUUCCUAGCUUAGAGCAUUUGUAUCUAUAAUACAUUUUAAAGUCAGAGUUCGUGUUACCUGUUUUAAUCACAUGACUACCUGUCCCAGUACACGAAAGGGUGCUGGUUGGCAUUCUUCUUAAUGUAUUUAGUAAAGAUCAUAAGAAAUCCUUUAAGAGUUUAAAUGUCUCUGAAACAGGCAUACAGGCUCUAGUCAAGAAUGAAUUAGAGUGAAGGAAAGCUGUGUGACACCUGGCAUUCCUCUCUGUUCAUGGAGCUGCUUUGAGGCUUAAGAUUGAUUUUACCAUCUAGACCUCUCUGGCUAAUACCUAUUCUUCAACCACCUCGGUUACUCUGACAUAGGAAUUUACUUAUUUUCCUUGAGUGGAAAACACUUUAGAAAAUAAUAACAAACAUUAUUAUAAACUAAUAUAUGUGAGAGUACUUAGUUGAAACAAAAAGGAAUUUUAGUAGACAGUAUUAUAUUAUCUUUGAAAAUCAAGGAGAAGUUUAUGCAACUUAAAAUGUUUACACACUGUGGUGCAAUCUACUGUUUGUGAAUGUCUGUAUUAUCAGGAAACAUGUCUAUACGGUCGCAGAGUUGUAUUUCCUCACAAACUUCUUUACGAAGAGUGAAAUACGUUUUUGUACCUCUCAGUUUCAGUCAGGGACAUAUUUUGUGCAAUAUUUCUGUGAUUGUGCCUAUGCGUGAUGAAUGAAUGCAUUUCAGUCAUACAUUGCCUAAAUCAUAACUUGAUGAUGCUUGGGAAAGAAUCAACAGUUAAAACUUCAUGAAGUUCUAAUGUCUGUGUUCCAAAACACAUCACAUUAUUGGUUGUAGGGAGAUAUGUAUGUGUGCUCCCUGGGGUGGGGAGUUUUCUAGUUACUAGACCAUCUCCAUUUUUAGCACUUGGCAUCCUCAUGAUCCUUUUAUAAAUAUGAGAUUAACAGGAGAGCAGCAAUACGAUUUUGCCAAUGGAAUAACAGAUUUGCCAGCAUUCACUGAAAGAGGGCAGAUAUUGGGUCCUUGUAACUUCAACUGACUCUUCCAAAUUGUAUGAAUUUAUCAAUGUAUUACAUAAAUCCAGUUUCAGAAUGAUAAAAAAUGUUAGACCAAA